rnacentral:snRNA from 12 species
AGAGUCAGUGGUGGAGUGCCGAUGUGCUGCUGACUUCCUGUGCUCAUCCAGGGAUAGAAAAUUAAGAGUACCGGAUGUGCUGACCCCUGCAAUUUCCCCAAAAGUGGGAAACUCGACUGCAUAAUUUGUGGUAGUGGGGGACUGCGUUCGUGCUCUCCCCUG